UACGUAGGUGACCAGCGUUGUCCGGAUUUACUGGGCGUAAAGAGCGCGCAGGCGGUCGUUCAAGUCGAGUGUGAAAGCCCCCGGCUCAACUGGGGAGGGUCAUUCGAUACUGAUCGACUUGAAGGCAGGAGAGGGAAGCGGAAUUCCCGGUGUAGUGGUGAAAUGCGUAGAUAUGUGGAGGAACACCGAUGGCGAAGGCAGCCCCCUGGGUUAACACUGACGCUCAUGCACGAAAGCGUGGGGAGCAAACAGG
rnacentral:rRNA from 1 species